rnacentral:lncRNA from 7 species
GCAGAUACCAGCUGGAUCCAAUUCUCAUUCAGCUAAUAGCUGGAAUGUGGAGAAGCUUCAACCAAAUCUCAAAAGCAAACAAAAUAAUCUGAAGGAUAAAGAUACGACGAAAGCAGCAAAUUCCUCUGAAAUCUACUGGGCUGAGGAAUGAUGAAACACAAGACAAAGCUCUUAUCUAUCAGGAAGUUUAAAGCACACCACCUUUUCAUGUUUACAUCUUUCUAUGAUACUCAUCAAAACUGAGAAGCCAUUUUUCAGAUUAAAUCCUACGUAAUUGGGGAUUUUUGAAGAGAGAAGAGACUACUAUCCUUCUGUGGGAUACAGAGCAUUUUCAAGAACUAGUUCUUCAAGACUGCUACCUGUCAGUCAACUAGAAUAUGUAUCUUUAGGAACAGCAACAACAAAAUCCUAGAGUGAAAUACCCUUUCAAUAGAAGAUCUACUGUAACUUUGAGACUAGAUGUUGUGUUUGGACCCUUACUGUUACAGUGUUUACUUCAGUUAAGUUCACUUUCUAAACAGUUUGUUUCUCUUUCCAGUACUAUUCAAUUUAUGGGAUUUAAGUUCUCAGUGAUCAUAAAGGAUAUAAGGAUAUUCACAAAACAAAGCGUGUCUUGAUCUGCUCAUCCGUGCAAAUUGGCUAAUGGUGGUGACAAUGUUGAAAAAGUGUUUUAUAGCUGAGAAUUUUCUCCAUCAAACAGUGUUAUUGGUGCUUUUUCUAUCUGUUGCAUGGAAGUAAAUAAGAGGCGUUACCUUCAGAGCAACCUACAUGGAAGAUUUCCACAGCUCUGUAAGCACACUGAGAGGCUUAUUAAAAUAAUAACAGCACAUUUGUUAAUAAUUAAUCACUGACAUUAGCAGAGAGACAUUCAGCCAAAUAUUCUGAAAUACUUUCCAAAUUUCACUGACCAAAACUCUAAACGGAUAGAGACUACCUAAUCCAUCACCACAUACUGCCACCCUUGACAGCUAUUUAAUUGCUCAUAGCAGAGCAACUGCUUAGUAGCAAUCAGAUUGGUGCACAAAGCAAAGAAUAUACUGCAUAGCCAUGAAUAAGUAGAAAGCAAACAGUAAGUGAAGGAGUGCACAUAGUCACUCCUGGAUGGUUUUGGUCAUGUAAAAGUAUCCCCACUCUUUUUGGGUGAAUACUCAUGAACCUUUCUCCAAGUCACUGCAGGUCAGAUAUACUAGCACAGUGAUAUAGAGAGGUAUGCUGUAUUCAGAAUGACUGUUGUUACGGCUUCCUUCUGGAGGCUGACAUUCAUGCCAAUCUUGAGAAUUUUUGGUGUCUUCCUUCUGUUGAAAUACAUUAAAAAUUAUUAUAAGCCCUCUUUUAGAUCUUUCAGUCAAACUUUGAUUUGUAUCUUGAUUCUUUAAUUUAAUUUCUGCUCUCUGAUUUUAGUGCCACUCUCCAAACUCCUGUAGCCUAAAUCUCUGCUGACUGUGGAACACAUCCUGGUAUCUAACUUGCAUACCUCUGUCAAAUGCACAAGCAAUGGUGGAUGUUAAUGCAGUUAAAAAUACUUGUGAGUUUUUGACUGCAUCUCCCUGGCUGUCUUAGUGCUGCUACAUCUCAUCUGACUGUAUCUGAAUAUAUAUGUAACCUCUCCAUAUUAAAUAGAGGAAAUUUAUUUCAGUUAUG